GACGAACGCUGGCGGCGUGCCUAACACAUGCAAGUCGAACGAAGAAUGUUUUUCGGAAUAUUCUUAGUGGCGGACGGGUGAGUAACGCGUGAACAAUCUGCCCCGUACAAAGGGAUAGCCUCGGGAAACCGGGAUUAAAACCGUAUGACACUUUAGUAUCGCAUGAUAAGAAAGUCAAAUCGAAUAGAGGUAUGGGAUGAGUUCGCGUCUGAUUAGCUGGUUGGCGGGGUAACGGCCCACCAAGGCGACGAUCAGUAGCCGGCCUGAGAGGGUGAACGGCCACACUGGAACUGAGACACGGUCCAGACUCCUACGGGAGGCAGCAGUGGGGAAUAUUGCACAAUGGAGGGAACUCUGAUGCAGCGACGCCGCGUGAGUGAAGAAGGUCUUCGGAUCGUAAAACUCUGUCCUUGGUGAAGAAAAGGACGGUAGCCAAGGAGGAAGCCCCGGCUAACUACGUG
rnacentral:rRNA from 1 species